rnacentral:rRNA from 1 species
GAUGAACGCUGACGGCGUGCCUAAUACAUGCAAGUCGAGCGAACAGAUGAGGAGCUUGCUCCUCUGACGUUAGCGGCGGACGGGUGAGUAACACGUGGAUAACCUACCUAUAAGACUGGGAUAACUUCGGGAAACCGGAGCUAAUACCGGAUAAUAUAUUGAACCGCAUGGUUCAAUAGUGAAAGACGGUUUUGCUGUCACUUAUAGAUGGAUCCGCGCCGCAUUAGCUAGUUGGUAAGGUAACGGCUUACCAAGGCAACGAUGCGUAGCCGACCUGAGAGGGUGAUCGGCCACACUGGAACUGAGACACGGUCCAGACUCCUACGGGAGGCAGCAGUAGGGAAUCUUCCGCAAUGGGCGAAAGCUUGACGGAGCAACGCCGCGUGAGUGAUGAAGGUCUUCGGAUCGUAAAACUCUGUUAUUAGGGAAGAACAAAUGUGUAAGUAACUAUGCACGUCUUGACGGUACCUAAUCAGAAAGCCACGGCUAACUACGUG